rnacentral:rRNA from 1 species
AUGAAUUUUUUCCUGCCAUUGAAGAGAACUACUAUAUCUCAAAGAAGUUCUACUUCGACCUUUCCUACCAGCAGUGUGUGCGCAUGCUCAACAGUCGAUGUUAAGAAGCGCUUCCUUCAUGAGCUUAGUUUGAUUUGGCCCGGUUUUGAUGCCUCUGCAGUGUGUGCGCAUGCUCAACAGCAUGCCGAAGCAGGCGAUGUGUCAUGUCCCGCGCGGCAGCCUCCCCGAUCCGCCUCGGCACCCACAUCAAGUCCUCUCGGUCUACCUCCUCCAUCAUGUAGCAUGGCUUUGAGCGGCCAGGUGUCCCAGAUUGACAGCGACGGCGGCAUGAGGGUGUGA